AUGCAUAGUAUAAACGUUACUAGUUCAGAAACUGCCGGUAUGAAGAUUGUAUGGCAUCAGAGAAUAAAAACACAGUAGAAAUGUACUGGAUUUUAUCAUAUACAUUUCAAUUUGACAAUCAAAAGUGUUAAUUAUCUUAAUUAUGUGAAAAUAAAUUAAUUAAAUAUUAUAUUUUGGAUUUUACUAUUUAAAAAAGUAGUCUUUUUCGAUAAAAAAAUUUUUUUGCUGCAAUGGUAAUAAUAACGAAAUUGAUGUUUAUUGCAGUUAUUUACGUUUUUUCAGGUAUUUUUACUUCUGUAAUAGCAUCACGUGUACUUGAAUUAAGUGAUAGAUUUUUGGACAUUCAUAAAGAUGGACAAUGGCUUGUAAUGAUGUAUGCACCAUGGUGUGCACAUUGCAAAAGAUUAGAACCAAUUUGGGCUCACGUAGCACAAUAUUUACAUGCAACAUCAAUACGAGUUGGACGAGUUGAUUGUACUAGAUUUACGAAUGUUGCUCAUGCUUUUAAAGUUAAAGGAUUUCCAACUAUUAUAUUUUUAAAAGGUGAGCAAGAAUUUAUAUAUAAUGGGGAUAGAACACGAGAUGAAAUAGUAAAAUUUGCAUUAAGAGUAAGUGGUCCACCAGUUCAGGGAAUAACAAAAACUCAAAGUUUUGACACUAUUAAAAAAGAACAUGAUAUAUACUUUUUAUAUGUUGGAGAACGAUCUGGUCCAUUAUGGGAAUUUUAUCAUAAGACUGCAAAUGUGUUCCAACCACAUGCAUUUUUCUAUCAAUCUCAUCCAAAUAUUGUUAGUAAACAUGCUCCUGUAGAAAAUAUUCCAGCAUUAUUUGUUUAUAAGGAAAAUAUACAUUACAACUUUAGUGAUCAUAAUAUAAAUGAUAUAGAAAAAUUAAAUGAGACAAUGUAUAAAUGGAUAAAUGCAGAACGUUUUCCUACAUUCCCAAAAGUAACAAGAGGAAACAUAAAUCAACUUUUUUUGACAAAUAAAAAUUUGGUUUUGGCAGUAGUAGAAGAAAAUCAAUUAGAAAAAAUACCAUUACACAUGGCACGGUUUAAAGACAUGGUAGAAUCUAUCAUUAAAAACAAACGAGAAAAAUAUCAUGAUUAUUUUCAGUUUGGUUGGAUAGCUAGUCCAGAUCUAGUCAAUAGUAUAGCAAUGAUGAUUUUACCAUUACCAAGUUUAAUUGUUAUUAAUACUACAACAAACCAUCAUCACAUUCCGGAGGAUGAAACUGAAAAAUUAACUCCUCAUGUGAUAGAAUUGUUCCUAGAGCAAAUUCGAAAUGAAAGUGCUCCGCGAUAUGGUGGAAAUAGUUGGUUGAUACGUAUAUAUAGAUCAUGGUUUGAAUUAAAAACAACUCUUUCUGCAAUGUGGAUGGGUAAUCCCAUUCUAACAAUGGUCUUAUUUGGUUUACCAGCAGGAUUCUUAUCAUUAAUAUGUUAUGGUAUUUGUUGUCCAGAUAUUUUAGAUGCAGAUGAUGACGAAGAAGACCAUCCAGGAGCAAAUCAUAUGAAGAAAGAUUAGAAUAAUUGGAUUAACAUAUUGUUUAUAUUAAACAAUUGUAUAAAAUUGUAAAUUUUUAACCUGUAAAUUUCAAUUUCAUUUAGUAAUUUAAUAUAUUAAUUUAAUUAAAUUACAUGAAUUAUGAAAAUGAUAAUUUUUUGUAAUUAGUAAAAUGAAACAAAUUUUAUGAAUAUAUACAAGAUAGUCCAUAAUACAAAUAGAUCAGGAGAUUUUACGAAUUACGCAUUAUCCUGUAUAUACAGAUAUACACAGAAUAUAUUUAUAACAUAGUUUUGGAAGAUUAAUUUUAGAAGAUCAAAACAAAAAUUAAAAUGUAAAAAUAUUAGUUGAGAAUUAUUUAUUAAUUUAUAAGCAAUUUAAGUUCUCAUUGAAGCAAAAAGAGAAAUGGUGAUGUAAAAGUUAUAAAGUGUUUGCGUUUAACGCAAAUUUCAUUUUCUUACAAGUUAAUAAAUAAAUAUCAACCAAUAUUUUUCAAUAGUAACUUACAUAUUUGUUUUGGCUUCUAGAAUCGAUUUUCUAAAAAUGUUCCACUAAUAUAUUAAUAUUGUGUACUCGUAUAUAUAGUAUAAUGUAAAAAUAAAUAUCUUAACUAAAUGGAACUUUCAUAAGACAAUACAAAUCAUAUGUAGACAUAAAUAAGCUUUUUUAAACCUCGUAGAAAAAUUUAUUCUAUAUUACAAAAAAAAUAUAAAAAUAUAUUAAAGUUUUAAGAAAAAAAUGUAAGUGGUAAAUAAUGUUCUGUAUACUUUGAAAUUAAAUAUAUAUAUGUUUGUUUAUGUAA